GGCUUCUUGGUGUAAUGGUAACACGGACUGUCCCGAGUGUCCGGGGAGAGUCGAAUGUGGGUUCGAUUCCUGCAGAGGCCA